rnacentral:lncRNA from 1 species
CUGGCGUUUGCAGUUACCAGUUCAACAUGGCUGGACGUUCAGCAAGUGCUUAAACUUUGGCCAGGUGGCUGAAUCGGGUGACUGAAUCGGACCGAAAUUUCUGUGAUUAAGUUCCCCAAG